GUCAGUUCAGGCAGUACUAUAUAGACUGCUAUUGCGGCCAUGUGACCGCUCUUUCAGAGCAAUCAUAUAUCCCGCGGGGGCCUAAUUUGCCGAGGGUGGACGGUUUGGGCCGUCAGUCCCCCCAGAGCGGGAGGAACACCGAUCACCAGCGGGGGAACGGCAGCGAUCGGGUAAGUAAGAAGGAAUGUGAGGAUGUACGGUCGUUAAGGACCAUUUUUUGUUGGACAUACCUAGUACAUCCUCGGUCCUUAAAGGGUUACAUUUCUUGAUUUUCAAAAAAAAAUAAUAGUUAUUAAACACAAAC